rnacentral:rRNA from 1 species
AUUAGAUACCCGGGUAGUCCCAGCUGUAAACGAUGCAGACUCGGUGAUGCAUUGGCUUGUGGCCAAUGCAGUGCCGCAGGGAAGCCGCUAAGUCUGCCGCCUGGGAAGUACGUACGCAAGUAUGAAACUUAAAGGAAUUGGCGGGGGAGCACCACAAGGGGUGAAGCCUGCGGUUCAAUUGGAGUCAACGCCAGAAAUCUUACCUGGGGAGACAGCAGAAUGAAGGUCAAGCUGAAGACUUUACCAGACACGCUGAGAGGUGGUGCAUGGCCGUCGCCAGCUCGUGCCGUGAGAUGUCCUGUUAAGUCAGGUAACGAGCGAGACCCCUGCGUCUAGUUGCUACCAUUAUUCUCUGGAGUAGUGGAGCGAAUUAGACGGACCGCCACAGUUAAUGUGGAGGAAGGAAGGGGCCACGGCAGGUCAGUAUGCCCC